UUUUUGUUUGUCCAAGACAACAUUCCUGUUUUCUGUACGACCUACGAUCAUAGUUUGCAUCGGCAUUGCAUCACACCGAGAGGGUACUUUCCGAAAAUGGUCCUACGUACCCUGUCCAAUUCAACAUACUCUCGAGGAGACGAGAAGUAGCAUUUCCAUUCUCCACCUGUCCACAAGAUGUCCUUAGACCUUUCCCCUCACUUUACAGAUCCUGCCCUCCCAGACCUGUUAGCCCCCAGCAUGCUGUCGACCCGCAGCCAAAUCUCAAGCGCCAGUCAAGGCUUCUCUGUCAACAAGCCUCGUCACCAGCCUCUGGCGUGGUUCUGCCUGUGUCUACGCCCUCCAUUGCGGUCCCUCCUAUACGUCGCCGGCCACCUUCCGGCCCUCGUUCAGCCUCCAUCGCGGUUCUGAAAGUUGUUUUACUCGCUCCCAGAUCUCCUGUUUGCCCUUUUCAACACCCAGGCCGUCCACCUAAGGUUUCCGGCUUGACUUAGGCUUUGAGGCCACUUGCCCCUGAAACCCUCCUCAAUACCUUCUCAACCCACCCUGCCUGGUUUUCCUGACUGGCCUUGUGCCAUGUCUUGAAUCCGUCCUUUGCACCUGCCCCUCAUUCCAACCAUUAACCACUUAUAUACCAUUUCGCUUUAUUUGUUCCCUAGUAGUUUUGAUUCUCAUGUCACUCUGUCAUUCCCUAAUCUUUAGCCUUCUCUAGGCUAGUUCAGUGAACUAAGGUUUUUAUUAUUUUAUGUAUUAAACUAUUUGUAACACUUCUUGC
ensembl:lncRNA